ensembl:piRNA 21ur-1485 ncRNA
UCAUUGAUGUUGUUGUGUUGU